AACAGUGUCAAUGUUCAUGUUAACAUCCUAAAAGGAUUGUUGUCUGGACAACGUGUAGCCCGCAUGUGUAACACAAUGAAAGUGUCAGAUUGCCAAGAUAUUUUAAAGCGCUACCAGCAAGCUCAUCUGGAAUGCCACGGGACGAAACAAAGGUUGUACAGCUGCAUGGUGAUACUGGAGAUGUCUGGACCUGUCAAUGGUUGUACCCUGAAAAAACUUCUGCAGCGAGUCAUUGACAGCAGCAGUGGCAUAACAACCGAAAGGCCACUUACACGCAUGGUCAUUUGUGGUCCUCCUGGGUUGGCUGUUCGUACUCUGUUGGCAUCCAACCUGACCUGGGUUGCCAGUGACCUGCUGACCUCUGACGUCUGUCAACUUGACCCCACUCUGAUUAAAUGUGAGGCAAAUGAGAGCCUUGCUGUACUUCUGACUGACAGCUGCCCUCCGGAACCUCCUACAACCAUGCAAAGCACAACACAGCCUUCCAAUCUGACCAGCAGCAACAUCACUACAACUCCUGAAGCUUUACCACCAUCUGUGACCAACACUACUGAACAAACUAACACGACGGCUGAAAAUACUGCAACAGUUCAACAGACAAAUGAAUCACAAAGAACAGCUCAGCCUAACAUGAAUACUCCCCUGACAACAGUUAACAGUACACAGUCUUCAACAGCACAGCCUGUUAUCCAAACCAGCUCGCAAAACACGACUAUGACUGUCUCUGAAAGUACAACAGUACAAAACACAACAUUGUCUUAUAACACAACAUUGUUGACACCCACUGACAAUACACAACUGCAAAACACAUCAGAAUUCAUAACGAGAUUUUCUGUCAACUCAACAUUACAAAUUACCAUAGCUGCUCCUAUUGAUCCAACACCUAACACAACUACAUUGUCUCUAAAUCACACAACUGAGUACAUCGUAACAACAGCUGAUACAGUUACACCUUCUGCCAAUCACACAGCAGUAUACAAUGUAACUCCUUCUCCAAAUGACACAACAGCGUACAAUGUAACUACAGUUAUACCUUCCACCAAUCACACACCAGAGUACAAUGUAACUACAAUUUCAGCUUCUACCAAUCACACAACAGAGUACAAUGUAACUACACUAACACCUUCCCCAAAUGACACAACAGCAUACAAUGUAUCUACAGUUACACUUUCUACCAAUCACACAACAGAAUACAAUGCAACUACAGCUUCUACCAAUCACACAACAGAGUACAAUGUAACUACACUUUCUCCAAAUGACACAACAUCAUACAAUGUAUCUACAAUUACACCUUCUACCAAUCACACAACUGAGUACAAUGCAACUACAGUUACACCUUCUACCAAUCACACAACAGAGUACAAUGCAACUACAGUUACACCUUCUCCCAAUCACACAACUGAGUACAAUGCAACUACAGUUACACCUUCUAACAAUCACACAACAGAGUACAAUGUAUCUACAGUUACAUCUUCUACCAAUCACACAACUGAGUACAAUGUAACUACAGUUACACCUUCUACCAAUCACACAACAGAGUACAAUGCAACUAUAGUUACACCUUCUCCCAAUCACACAACUGAGUACAAUGCAACUACAGUUACACCUUCUACCAAUCACACAACAGAGUACAAUGUAUCUACAGUUACAUCUUCUACCAAUCACACAACUGAGUACAAUGUAACUACAGUUACACCUUCUCCCAAUCACACAACAGAGUACAAUGCAACUACACUAACACCUUCUCCAAAUGACACAACAACAUACAAUGUAUCUACAGUUACAGCUUCUACCAAUCACACAACUGAGUACAAUGCAACUACAGUUACAGCUUCAACCAAUCACACAACAGAGUAUAAUGCAACUACAGUUACACCUUCUCCCAAUCACACAACAGAGUACAAUGUAACUACACUUUCUCCAAAUGACACAACAUCAUACAAUGUAUCUACAGUUACACCUUCUACCAAUCACACAACAGAGUACAAUGCAACUAUAGUUACACCUUCUCCCAAUCACACAACUGAGUACAAUGCAACUACAGUUACACCUUCUACCAAUCACACAACAGAGUACAAUGUAUCUACAGUUACAUCUUCUACCAAUCACACAACUGAGUACAAUGUAACUACAGUUACACCUUCUCCCAAUCACACAACAGAGUACAAUGCAACUACACUAACACCUUCUCCAAAUGACACAACAACAUACAAUGUAUCUACAGUUACAGCUUCUACCAAUCACACAACUGAGUACAAUGCAACUACAGUUACAGCUUCAACCAAUCACACAACAGAGUAUAAUGCAACUACAGUUACACCUUCUCCCAAUCACACAACAGAGUACAAUGUAACUACACUUUCUCCAAAUGACACAACAUCAUACAAUGUAUCUACAGUUACACCUUCUACCAAUCACACAACAGAGUACAAUGUAACUACACUUUCUCCAAAUGACACAACAUCAUACAAUGUAUCUACAGUUACACCUUCUACCAAUCACACAACUGAGUACAAUGCAACUACAGUUACACCUUCUACCAAUCACACAACAGAGUACAAUGUAACUACAUUAACACCUUCCCCAAAUGACACAACAGCAUACAAUGUAUCUACAGUUACACAUUCUACUAAUCACACAACAGAAUACAAUGCAACUACAGCUUCUACCAAUCACACAACAGAGUACAACGUAACUAUACUAACACCUUCUCCAAAUGACACAACAACAUACAAUAUAUCUACAGUUACAGCUUCUACCAAUCACACAACAGAGUACAAUGUAACUAAACUUUCUCCAAAUGACACAACAGCAUACAAUGUAUCUAUAGUUACAUAUUCUACCAAUCACACAAAUGAGUACAACAUAACUACAACUGGAUCAUUUACACCUUCUACCAAUCACACAACAGAGUACAAUGCAACUACAGUUACACCUUCUACCAAUCACACAACAGAGUACAACGUAACUAUACUAACACCUUCUCCAAAUGACACAACAACAUACAAUGUAUCUACAGUUACAGCUUCUACCAAUCACACAACAGAGUACAAUGCAACUACAGUUACACAUUCUACCAAUCACACAACAGAAUACAAUGCACCUACAGCUUCUACCAAUCACACAACAGAGUACAAUGUAAUUACACUUUCUCCAAAUGACACAACAGCAUACAAUGUAUCUACAGUUACACCGUCUACCAAUCACACAACUGAGUACAAUGCAACUGCAGUUACACCUUCUACCAAUCAAACAACUGAGUACAAUGUAUCUAUAGUUACACCUUCUACCAAUCACACAACUGAGUACAAUGCAACUGCAGUUACACCUUCUACCAAUCACACAACUGAGUACAAUGUAUCUACAGUUACACCUUCUACCAAUCACACAACUGAGUACAAUGCAACUACAGUUACACCUUCUACCAAUCACACAACAGAGUACAAUGUAACUACAUUAACACCUUCCCCAAAUGACACAACAGCAUACAAUGUAUUUACAGUUACACAUUCUACCAAUCACACAACAGAAUACAAUGCAACUACAGCUUCUACCAAUCACACAACAGAGUACAAUGCAACUGCAGUUACACCUUCUACCAAUCACACAACAGAGUACAACGUAACUAUUCUAACACCUUCUCCAAAUGACACAACAACAUACAAUGUAUCUACAGUUACAGCUUCUACCAAUCACACAACAGAGUACAAUGUAACUAUACUUUCUCCAAAUGACACAACAACAUACAAUGUAUCUAUAGUUACAUAUUCUACCAAUCACACAAAUGAGUACAACGUAACUACAACUGGAUCAUUUACACCUUCUACCAAUCACACAACAGAGUACAAUGCAACUGCAGUUACACCUUCUACCAAUCACACAACAGAGUACAACGUAACUAUACUAACACCUUCUCCAAAUGACACAACAACAUACAAUGUAUCUACAGUUACAGCUUCUACCAAUCACACAACAGAGUACAAUGUAACUACACUUUCUCCAAAUGACACAACAGCAUACAAUGUAUCUACAGUUACACCUUCUACCAAUCACACAACUGAGUACAAUGCAACUGCAGUUACACCUUCUACCAAUCACACAACUGAGUACAAUGUAACUACAAUUGACAGCAACAGAAAACAAAACAAUAGUACAUUUAAAACGACCAACACAACAGUUAAGACUUCUCCCAAUGACAUUGUACUUCAUAAUAUAACUGCAGCUGCCAAUAAUCACACAGCAACCCCUUACAAUCACACGACAGUGUACAUAUCAACUGUGGACAAUAUGACGUCUGUUGUUGACAAUAUUACUAAACCCACAGUAGCUCCACUGAACAACCAGACUGGAAAUCACACCACAGCAAGAGUUACUCUCAAUAUCACAACAACCAACAAAAAAGACAACUUCACUACAGCUGCCACUGUAGUCAAUACCAUCAUCAAUCUCAAUCAAACUUCAGUAAUCAACCUAAACACAACUGCCAGCAGUUUAACCACUGACUUCAACCUGACAACGAAAGAACCAGGAGGCAAUUGGACAACUACAGCAGCUAAAACUUCCCUUGAAGCUACAACUUCAACCACAGCUACUACAGCUAUUCCGGCCCAAAUUAACAACACUACUGCAAAGGCUUUUUCUACAACAACUCUCCAAAUCACCAACAGAACCAUUACAAAACCAGAGACAACUACGAGCCAAGAGGCACAGGAGGAACAAGCAAACGAGCUGCUGAAUCAAACACAAGAUGCGUCUCAGCUGAACUCUUCUCAGUUGGCACAGUUGGUGGGGAAUUUAGAUAAGCUUCUGGAUGGCCCCACUGUCUCUCAGGCAGUGGGAGAAAAGGCCAUCAGCAUAAUCAGCAACCUAAUGGAGGGCAACUCACAGGCCCUCUCUGCAUCUGCUAACAGGCUGAUUCAACUGGUAGACAAUGUGGGUCUUAAGUUGGUUGUCACUGGUGACAGAGAGAUCCUCUCCUCAGGGUCUCUGGUUCUGGCAGUGAGGAAAGUUGAUGGGACCAACUUUCCAUUAACAUCGGUUGACAUUUUCAACACUGAUAAUGUCCAGCUUCGUGCACUCAGCAGAUCCAAGAGGUCAGAUUCUGCUCUGGGGUCUGUAACCUUGCCCUCCUCCCUCACCACGGGUCUCAGUCCUGAACAGCAGAAGCAGGCCAACAGGCUACAGUUCAACUUCUACACCAAACCUGCCUUCUUCCAGGAUGCAGCAUUAGACAACCAAACUCUGGUCAGUCCAGUCCUGGCCGCCAGUGUGGCAAAUCUGUCAAUAAGCAACUUGGCUGAGAACAUUCAGUUUACCAUCCGAAACAUCAACCCCAUAAAUGUCAACUACACAGCCUCCUGUGCAUUUUGGGACUUAACUCAGAAUGGUGGUGGAGGAGGCUGGAGCUCUGUUGGCUGCUUUGUUGUCAAUGCCACAGCAGAAAAAACAAUCUGCAGCUGCAACCAUCUUACAUCCUUUGCGAUUCUGCUGGAUUUGUCCAGAGAGGGAAUUAUUGACCGUCAGCAAGCGCAAAUUCUUACAUUCAUCACCUACAUCGGCUGUGGAAUCUCUUCCAUUUUCCUGGCUCUCACCUUACUGACAUAUCUUUCAUUUGAAAAACUGCUGCGGGAUAUUCCUGCCAAGAUCCUAGUUCAGCUCUGCCUGUCCCUCCUCUUGCUCAACCUGGUCUUCUUGCUGGACGGCUGGCUGGCGCUCUACCCAGCAAUCGGGCUGUGCAUUAGCACCGCCUUCUUCCUUCAUUACUUCCUGCUGACAUCAUUCACCUGGGCGGGGCUUGAGGCCCUGCACAUGUACCUGAGCAUCGUCCGGGUGUUCACUCCCUACCUCAGCAGAUACAUGCUCAAGUUCUCACUGAUAGGCUGGGGCCUUCCUCUUCUCGUGGUGAUCGUUGUAAUAUCAGUGGACAAAGACAACUAUGGUCUGGUCACAUAUGGAAAAUUCACAGAUGGCACUUCAGAUGACUUCUGUUGGCUGCGUAAUGACAUUGCCUUCUACGUGGGCGUAGUAGCCUACUUCCUCCUGAUUUUCUUUCUGUGCCUGCUGGUCUUCAUCAUUGUUAUGGUUCAGCUGUCCCGGAUCAAGAAGCAGAACCCCCAGAACCAGCCUCCCAACAGGGGAGUGUUGACAGAUCUGCGCAGCAUCGCUGGCCUCAUCAUCCUGCUCGGCCUCACCUGGGGGUUCGCCCUGUUUGCCUGGGGACCUCUCUACUUACCCUUUGUUUACCUUUUCUCCAUAUUCAACUCUCUGCAAGGAUUCCUUGUUUUUAUAUUCCACUGUGCUGUGAAGGAGAAUGUCCGCAGGCAGUGGAGAACUUAUCUUUGCUGCGGGAGACUGCGUUUGGCUCAGAACUUCAGAUUGGAGUCGGACUGCCACACAUAACAAGAAGAAUUUGUCGGUUGCCACGGAAUUCACCUCAGCUCCCCACUUCACCUCUCGAAGUUCCUCCGUCAUCAGUGAUAGCACCAAUAGCAAUGGCUCCGUGUUUGCAGACAGCGGAAUAUCUGACGGCUCCAACAGCGACACUCUCCUCAACGAGAUCCACAGAAGAAAUCCGUCACUGUAAUGAGAGACCUGACAAAUGUGUCAAGCAUCCGUUUGUGAUUACAAUAAUGAUCUACUCUGAGAAAGACACGGACGCAACGAGUGAUUAGUGAUCUCCUGCAGCUCGAGUAAACUAAAAUAGUAAUCACAGGAGUGGAUGCUCACAGAAAUCCUCAGUGUUACGCAAGAUGAAAGUUUUACACGGUGUAAUGAAGGACGGAAGAAGUGAGACUGAAUUACCUUUAGCGAGGAUAAGUAUGAUUAUUGCAACAAGUGUGACUUGAUGCCUUUUCAAAAGUAGAAAAUAUGAACACAGAAAUAAUGUAAGCGACUGGUUGGCAGUGGGAGGUGAAGAAAGGUGUGUUUGUGACUGAAUACAAUUAUUAUUUCACUGUUCCAGCUGACUUAGUGUGUAGACUUUAUAGCUUGUUUCAAAGCUUUUAGAGUUAUUACUGUUAAUGUGAUGGCAACAUUAUCUUUAGUCCGCAAGAAAGAUUAUUGCAUGUUAAAAAUACAAAAUUGCAUUUAAUUAGUAGCCUACAAUGUGGCAUGCUGUCAACAUUUAAUAU